UUUACUAUUGAUCAUUAAAGUUUGGUAUUCUAUUAAAAACCUUAUUUAAUUUUAAAGUAUACAAAAUAAUCAUAUUUUAAUAAAUGACAUUUAGGAGUUUACAAAAUUAUAUCAGUGACAAGCAUGAAACCACAACUCUUAUUUAUUGUUACAGAAUGGCUUCCCAACGACAUUCUUGGCAGGAAGAAGUGUCCCCUGUUGGAUUUGUUGACUGUCAUCUUGUGGACAACACAUCAGGCAGAAUGACAAUGCUAAGGUUCAACUUGUCCUAGAAAAGUUACACAUUGACCUAAACUAGUUUCUUCUAUUUUUUCCAAAUAUCAACAUUUCUGUUUCCAGUUUAGAAGGCAAUGCUGAAAAGGGAGGCAAACAGACAUUCAAAGUAGAAAAACUCAGUUUUAAUCAACAGGAUUUAGAGUCUAGAAGUUUCAUCGGUUCUUUGAAAACCACCCCAUCUUGUUUCUGCACCAUUAAAUUGUACCAUGGCAGUGAAAUUCCCAAGCAAACUCAUGAAGUCUUUUGAUACUGACUGCCACAUCCCACAGCUACAGAGUAGACGAGCUGGGGGUGGAGGGGGGCUGAGUUAGGCUCAUGGCAGGGGGCAGUUGUAGGCAUAACCUAUCUGCCUCUUACACAAAAUUACGGUUGAAAAUUUUAAUCAAGGCCUCUUCUUGUCAGAAGCUAACACGAGAAGCUUCCAGUUUGUCUCAUUUGAGACAGGCUGUAACGUUGUUGCGGGCUGUACUCAGCACACCAAGGAUGAAUACAGUAGGUGGGCUCUCAGCCACAGCCCAGGUUUCCCAUAACCAAAAGGCCAACGUUUUAAAGACCUUGUGAGAUCUGGUUAUACACCAUGCUCACAUCACAAACCGAACCUCUGAAAUAGGAGGAAUGUAUAAUGCUUUCCAGAUCAUUUUAAGAACAAAAGAACCUAUCAUUUUAAGGUUUUCAUUU
rnacentral:lncRNA from 1 species